rnacentral:rRNA from 1 species
UACGUAGGUGGCGAGCGUUGUCCGGAUUUACUGGGCGUAAAGGGAGCGUAGGCGGACUUUUAAGUGAGAUGUGAAAUACCCGGGCUCAACUUGGGUGCUGCAUUUCAAACUGGAAGUCUAGAGUGCAGGAUAGGAGAAUGGAAUUCCUAGUGUAGCGGUGAAAUGCGUAGAGAUUAGGAAGAACACCAGUGGCGAAGGCGAUUCUCUGGACUGUAACUGACGCUGAGGCUCGAAAGCGUGGGGAGCAAACAGGAUUAGAUACCCGCGUA